AACAUUCCUUGUAUAUUGUGGAUGACGGAUGUGGAGGGAGACUAACUGCCUUUAAGAAAGGGUUCCGACUGCAUAUUUCUCUGUAGCAGUGGGUAAUUCCCCCCCCCUCUCUUGUGUUGAUCUAAUAAUCCUCAGUGCUUGUGUGUUUACUCAGUGUUGAUAGUAGUGCCUUGCGUUGGAGAUCGCUGGGAAAGACGGAGAGACUCCGGUGUACGAUAUAUACGCCUGCUGUGGUCUGCCCCCUGCCUUCGUCCAUCUGACACGCCCCGCCAGGACUCUGAGCCCGAAACGGGAAUACACCACGGAUCUUCUUUCACUGAGUGUGUGGAGUGCGGUGAGUGCUGCUAUAUUGAAGUGUACACACGAGAAGAAUUGUAGUGCCUUUGUGGAGUGUGGUGUUUGUCCGUGGCUGUGUCUCCGGUCGUAGGAAGAGGCCUGACAGAGAGGAGCAGUGUAUCGGUGGCAACCAUAGUCUUUACCUUAAGUAAGCUGGAGCUUGGACGUGUUGGAGGCGCCUCUGGAGGAGGUUGGAUGACGUCGCCCACACAGCGAUCUCUCGAAGGACAACAGCCGAUCCUCCCCCGUGUGCCCCCUUGCCAAGGUGGGUGGGAAGCCCAGUAUUGUUUGCAGUCUCACCUGUAAGGCCCACCAGCCGUCAGUCAUCGACCAAACCCGUAUCUGCUUGGAAUACCGACCUCUGAAUAUCUUCAGUGAACCCCUGCACGCUAACAGCCCAGCCCUGUGAAUACCCACCUGUGUAUUGAACACUGUACUUACCUGAGAGUUAGAACCCCUGCACGCUAACAGCCCAGCGAAUACCCACCUGUGUAUUGAAAUCUGUACUUACCUGGGAGCUAGAACCCCUGCACGCUAACAGCCCAGCCCUGCGAAUACCCACCUGUGUAUUGAACUCUGUACUUACCUGGGAGCUAGAACCCCUGCACACUAACAGCCCAGCCCUGCGAAUACCCACCUGCGUAUUGGACUCUCUACUUACCUGAGAGCUAGAACCCCUGCACGCUAACAGCCCAGCCCUGUGAAUACCCACCUGUGUAUUGAAUUCUGUACUUACCUGUGAGCUAGAACCCCUGCACACUAACAGCCCAGCCCUGUGAAUACUCACCUGUGUAUUGAACUCUGUA